GUCCUAGUAGCUUAAUAAUAAAGCAUUGACCUUGUAAGCCAAAGAAUGGGACCCCCCCUAGGACAU
rnacentral:tRNA from 1 species